rnacentral:rRNA from 1 species
UACGAAGGGGGCUAGCGUUGCUCGGAAUCACUGGGCGUAAAGCGCACGUAGGCGGAUCUUUAAGUCAGGGGUGAAAUCCUGGAGCUCAACUCCAGAACUGCCUUUGAUACUGAGGAUCUCGAGUCCGGAAGAGGUGAGUGGAACUCCGAGUGUAGAGGUGAAAUUCGUAGAUAUUCGGAAGAACACCAGUGGCGAAGGCGGCUCACUGGUCCUGUACUGACGCUGAGGUGCGAAAGCGUGGGGAGCAAACAGG